rfam:Populus trichocarpa scaffold_1_contig_104, whole genome shotgun sequence.
UUUGAGGGGAAUGUUGUCUGGCUCGAGGUCACUAAUGGGAUCUAUGAUUUUAUCUCAAUUGAUUGAUUUUCUUUUAAAUUCUAGUAAAUUGAAUUGAGAGAUAUCAUGAUCAACUUAUAUUUAAUGAUGUCGGACCAGGCUUCAUUCCCCCCAAU